rnacentral:rRNA from 1 species
GGGGAAUAUUGGACAAUGGGCGAAAGCCUGAUCCAGCCAUGCCGCGUGUGUGAAGAAGGUCUUCGGAUUGUAAGCCCCUUAAGGUGGGAGGGAGGGGAGUAAGGUAAUUACUUUGUGGUUUUACGUUACCAACAGGAUUAGGAACGGCCUAACUUGUUGCCAGCAGCCGCGGUAAUACGAAGGGUGCAAGCGUUAAUCGGAAUUACUGGGCGUAAAGCGCGCGUAGGUGGUUCGUUAAGUUGGAUGUGAAAGCCCCGGGCUCAACCUGGGAACUGCAUCCAAAACUGGCGAGCUAGAGUAUGGCAGAGGGUGGUGGAAUUUCCUGUGUAGCGGUGAAAUGCGUAGAUAUAGGAAGGAACACCAGUGGCGAAGGCGACCACCUGGGCUAAUACUGACACUGAGGUGCGAAAGCGUGGGGAGCAAACA